rnacentral:lncRNA from 1 species
UUUUUUUUUAAUAGCAAAUACUAACACGAUGGCCCCAGCUGCAUCCUGACGUAUGUAAUCUGAGAUGUCUUCUAGGCGCUUAUCUCUUUAAUAAGAUGAGUCUGCUUUGUUAUUCAAUUGAAUAAUAGAAGGCACAACUCUCACAAUGAAUGAUUCAAGAUUGAAUGUUUCGGCAUCAUCAAGAUGAAGUCACUUCCCUUUGAGCCUUUCUUUUUUUUUUUUUAAAGAUUUUAUUUAUUUAUUCAUGAAAGACACAGAGAGAGGCAGAGACACAGGCAGAGGGAGGAGCAGGCGCCAUGCUGGGAGCCCAGUGCGGGACUCGAUCCCAGGACCCUGGGGGUCAUGACCUGAGCCGAAGGCGGGUGCCUUAACUGCUGAGCCACCCAGGUGUUCCCCUUUGAGUUUUCAAGUAAAACCUGGCUGAAGUCAAUUGUCAGAGUUUCUUUUUAGGGACUUAUUUGGUCCAGAAAUCUGUUCACAUUUAUUGAUCAUUUAAUAUCUACAAAGAACUGAAGUCUGCAAUAGAGCAUUGGAAAAACAAUGUAAGCAGAAGGUCAUCUUAAAAUGGUGACAUUCACUUACCCAUGCUGUUUCAUAGGACUGCGACCACAUGCAGAAAAUGAAGCAAACGACACUCUUAAGGGCAAGGACCUGAGGGCAACCCAUUGAGCUAGCUUCCUUGAGAACCUUCUAGUCCUCUGCCACAGAUCAGAGUUUCAGCCUGGAGGUUCCCCAUGGGCUAACACGAUUUUUGUGAAAUAUUAUUGAAUAUGUAAAUUAUCUAUAUUUACAUUAACUCCUCUUGAAAAUUUUAUAAUGACUGUAAGUUAAUGCAAAGACCAGGGAAUUUUAAAUUCAAAAUAUUAAAAAUGUGUUUUUUGUUUGUUUGUUUUUUAAUGCAAGUCAUGAAGCCUUAGCUCAAAAGAAACUAUCCAGAAUGUAGCACAGGGAGUUAAAGAUGCGGAAAACCAAAAAGAGAGGCUAAGGAACAUGAAACAUACAAUGACAAGACUUAACAUAUAUCUAAGGAACAUUCCAGAAAGGGUUGGGGGAGAGAACAGAAGAGAAAGAAGGGUUUUGAAAGAUACAGUGACUGAAAAUUUUCCAGCCCUGAUCAAAGAAACAACCCACAGAUUCAAAGAAUUUCACUGAAUUUCAAUCACUUUUGGCAGAAGAUGGCCAUGAUCCUUGCCAUUAAGGUUACUACAGAUUAAUGCGGAAAACAAAUAUUAAGUGUGGGCAACACAGCAGGCCACUGAUACGAAUGGGGCCGUGCAAACAAGCACAGGUUUUCCACAAAGGUGACUGUGUUUCAUGCACAGUCCAGGUCAGUGGAGGGCCAUGGAAACAGCAAGAGCUUCAUGCAAAAACGGGACCCCUCCCCUCCAAUGCAGCUUCUAUUUGUGAAAUAGCUGAGAAAUGCAAACACUAAAUGACUCAAAGCCUCUUUGCCCAAUAUAAGUUUAAGAAGUGUUAAGUUUAAGAAAUGUUAUAGAAGUGUGUCUCUGCCUUGCUCAAAUAAAAUAAUAAAUUAUAAAUUAUGAUCUAGUAUUUCAGCCCAGUAUUUAAAAUACUGACUGGGGCUCAGCUCAGUAUCAUAGAAACCGUAAUUACGUGCGCUUACUAAUGACGUAUGCUUACCAAGUCAUUAAUAGUGAUACCCUGGAGAAACCAAGCUCCAUUCUUCUGAGCGGAAAGUGAAAUGAUAAAAUCAUUCCUUCAGAAAUUAGCACUGUACUGCUGUGAAACUUGCUAACCAAAUAACUCACAUAUAUAUUAAAUGUGAGAUGUGGCCACUAGUCCUGCAUCAAAAUUUCCCAAAUGAUAGAAAAGCACCCCAACUAAUGAUGUUUGAAUAAAGCAGCAGCAAAACACCACAUGCACAAUUAACCAUAGCAUUCAAUAUCAGAAAAAUGGCCAAUUCUAGUGUUUGAAUAAAGGGAAGACCAGGUCUUCAAUUCCUGAUUGCCACUUCCCAAAUUCCAAGAGUAAUUAUUUUGUCGCUGUCUUCUGCUACUAAAAUAAAAUUGUAUUCUCAAAAUCUGAUUUCAUCUUACCUAUUUUAUGUAAUGUUAGUGUUCUCCAGCUUGCAUUAUGAGGGGUAAUGAAGACAAUGAAAGUUUUCUAGUUCCUUCUGGUUCAUCAAUAGGGACUGUAUUUCCUUCACUUACAACAGGUGUUCCAAUUCCACUCCGCUCAUCUCGUCCCCUCGUUUGGGCUCUGUUCAUGCAGCUGGGACAUGUUGUUUGUGGUUGCUCUAUACUAUUCCUUGCCUGAAUAAUUUGUUUGAUAUUAAGCUCUAGUCUCUAUCUAGUCCUGGAAACAGGGAAGGCAAAAAUCCUAAUUCCAUGGAGAGCGCUUUGAUAUCUCAGUCUCUUUCUUUCUGAAUCCUCUAAAGCAAAGAUGACAUAAAAGUUUUGUCUUCUUGGGAUCCCUGGGUGGCACAGCGGUUUGGAGCCUGCCUUUGGCCCAGGGCGUGAUCCUGGAGACCCCGGAUCGAAUCCCAAGUCGGGCUCCCAGUGCAUGAAGCCUGCCUCUCCCUCUGCCUAUGUCUCUGUCUCUCUCUCUCUCUCUGUAU